GUCCCCAUCGUCUAGUGGCCCAGGACUCAGGGUUUUCAUCCCUGCAACAGGGGUUCGAGUCCCCUUGGGGACGCCA
rnacentral:tRNA from 1 species